rnacentral:lncRNA from 1 species
GAAUGACUGAUCCCCGAAAUACCGGAUUUGACACUAAAUCGAACCCCUAAAUCAAUGGGGAAGACAAGCCCGGGAAAACGAACACGUAUCACCGAUCCUAAAGCACGCCACGGAUUCGAGCGUACCUUUUAGCCACAGAUUAAACACCAAUGCCGAUUGAGGAAGAAAAUCCGGUCGAAUUCGAUCCGAUGAAGCCUUGAAGGGAAGAAUUAGAAGCCGUAUGCCUACUGUUCCUUUUGAGAGGGAAAACGCGCGGGAGAGAAAAGACGUGCGUAAUUUCUUAUUCCAACAGACGUCUUCUCUCUCUCUCUCUCUCUCUCUCUCUCUCUCUCUCUCUCUCUCUCUCUCUCUCUCUCUCUCUCUCUCUCUCUCCCUUUUAUACCUCCCCCCAUCCACGGGCCAUAUUCCCGUGGGCCGGGCUCUCUUGGCCCAACUUGGGCGGACGGGCCUUAAGCCCAAAUUAAAUAAAG